UACAGAGGGGGCAAGCGUUGUUCGGAAUUACUGGGCGUAAAGGGCGCGUAGGCGGCCUGUUAAGUCGAACGUGAAAUCCCCGGGCUCAAUCCGGGAACUGCGUCGGAUACUGGAUGGCUUGAAUCCGGGAGAGGGAUGCGGAAUUCCAGGUGGUAGCGGUGAAAUCGCGUAGAUAUCUGGAGGAACACCGGUGGCGAAGGCGGCAUCCUGGACCGGCAUUGAC
rnacentral:rRNA from 1 species